CGCCUCUUGCAAAAUAAAUGAAUAAGAGGUCCCGCCUGCCCUGUGACUAUAUGUUCAACGGCCGCGGUAUUUUGACCGUGCGAAGGUAGCGCAAUCACUUGUCUUUUAAAUGAAGACCUGUAUGAAUGGCAUCACGAGGGCUUAGCUGUCUCCCCCUCCCAGUCAAUGAAAUUGAUUUUCCCGUGCAGAAGCGGGAAUAAGAACAUAAGACGAGAAGACCCUAUGGAGCUUAAGACGCCAGGACAGCUCAUGUUAAACACCCCAGAACAAAGGGAAUAAACUUAGUGAAACCCUGCCCUAGUGUCUUUGGUUGGGGCGACCACGGGGAAAAACUUAACCCCCAUGCGGAAUAGGAAUACUAUUUUCCUAGACUCAAGAGCUCCCGCUCUAAUAGACAGAAUUUCUGACCAAAAGGAUCCGGCAAUGCCGAUCAACGGACCGAGUUACCCUAGGGAUAACAGCGCAAUCCUCUUUAAGAGUCCCUAUCGACAAGAGGGUUUACGACCUCGAUGUUGGAUCAGGACAUCCUAAUGGUGCAGCCGCUAUAAGGG
rnacentral:rRNA from 1 species